rnacentral:rRNA from 1 species
CCUACGGGAGGCAGCAGUGGGGAAUAUUGCACAAUGGGGGAAACCCUGAUGCAGCAACGCCGCGUGAGUGAAGAAGUCAUUCGUGAUGUAAAGCUCUAUCAGCAGGGAAGAAAAUGACGGUACCUGAGUAAGAAGCCCCGGCUAACUACGUGCCAGCAGCCGCGGUAAUACGUAGGGGGCAAGCGUUAUCCGGAUUUACUGGGUGUAAAGGGAGCGUAGACGGCCAGACAAGUCUGAAGUGAAAAUCCAGCGCUUAACGUUGGAAGUGCUUUGGAAACUGCCGGGCUAGAGUGCAGGAGGGGCAGGCGGAAUUCCUAGUGUAGCGGUGAAAUGCGUAGAUAUUAGGAGGAACACCAGUGGCGAAGGCGGCCUGCUGGACUGCAACUGACGUUGAGGCUCGAAGGCGUGGGGAGCAAACAGGAUUAGAUACCCCAGUAGU